ACCAGUAGGACCAGAUGACCAUGGAGGCCUGACCUGGGGCUGCCCGGCAGUAGUGGAAGCCCAGGUGCCCCAGAGCUGAGUCUUUCACAGGCACCCAGAAGGCUAUCCUUAAUCCCUCUGGGCCAAGUAGCAGCAAAGCCCAGGAGCUCCCUGAGGGCCAUAGACUACUCGGCUGUAUUCUGUUAUCCCUGCCUUUUCCUGGAAUGCCGAGGCUCACAAUGUAACUUCAGCUAAGAACACAAAUAUCAGUGUGGGGCAGCCUGAGCUGAGGAUUCAUCUGGGAGGAUCAACUCUAAGACUGAUGCUCUCACGAAGAUCUCAGGAAUACCCACAAAGGGUGCCUGUCCUCUUGCUCUUGUGUGGGUUCUGUGUCUUACAAACCCACUCUCCUGACUCUGCUUCUCAGCAUGCAUCACCCGUGUGAUGAGAGACCCACAAAUGCUACGCUCUACACUUCACCCUGAGGGGCUCCUCAGCAACCAGGACAACUGUGAGAGGCUGAGGGUGUCACUUCAUCUCUGGAAGAGCACACAAAGGUGGGUGUUUUUGCUCUUUGUUUCUCCUGUGGCCAGUAUUUGCACAGUGGCUCUCCAAGGCUCAUCUGAGUGAUCCCAGGGUACAGGAGCAACUUAAGGAACCCACUUGCUUCCUUCCUUCUGCCACUGAGUUAAAACAGGGAACUUGCCAGUCACCAUUUCUACAUCUUUCAGGCCAUGUGCAUCUAUCUUCAGACUCCUCUCACCCUUCUAGCCCAUCAUUGGUCCGUUUGGUUGCUGUUGUCAGGGUAACGGUAGGCUGGCCCUUUGCCUCUAGAGGUAUUAAUGUGAGCCACCAGCAGGAGAUAUGCCAGCAGCUGUGGGGCCCACCUGUCUCUCACUGACUGUAGACCAGUUCCAGGCAGCUUGAGCAGCAAAGCACAGGGGCACACUAGCAGGCCGGGGCACAGCAGAGUGUGGGUGUUAUAUUGCCUCUGAGCACUGUGUCACUUUAUCCACUGCUUAGGGACUAAUGGAUCAGGAGUAUAAAGAGAAGGUUACAGCCAUGUCCUUGGUAAUCCAUGGACUGUGAUCUGUGUGUUCAGCCCACGUCAGCAGUUUGAUUUCAAGGGUUGAUUUGCGUAUGCCAGUGGAAAACUCAGGGUCUUAUCUAACCCAUGAAUUUCCAAAACAAUUUAAAAGGUACUUUUUCAGAAACAUGGCACUGUUAAAAUUAGAAAUUAAUAUAUAACUUC
ensembl:lincRNA Gm43419 predicted gene 43419